rnacentral:rRNA from 1 species
UACGUAGGGGGCUAGCGUUGUCCGGAAUCAUUGGGCGUAAAGCGCCCGUAGGCGGCCAGGUAAGUCCGGUGUGAAAGUCACAGGCUCAACCUGUGAAUGCCGCUGGAAACUGUCUGGCUUGAGUCCGGAAGGGGCGAGUGGAAUUCCUGGUGUAGCGGUGAAAUGCGCAGAUAUCAGGAGGAACACCAAUGGCGAAGGCAGCUCGCUGGAACGGUACUGACGCUGAGGCGCGAAAGCGUGGGGAGCGAACAGG